rnacentral:tRNA from 1 species
UCCCUCCUAGCUCAGUCGGUAAAGAAUCUGCCUGCAGUGCAGGAGAUCUGGGUUCGAUUCCUGGGUUGGGAA